rnacentral:rRNA from 2 species
CUCGUGUCGUGAGAUGUUGGGUUAAGUCCCGGCAACGAGCGCAACCCUUGUCUUUAGUUGUCCAUCAUUCAGUUGGGCACUCUAGAGAGACUGCCCGAAGGACGAACUCGGAGGAAGGUGGGGAUGACGUCAAAUCAUCAUGCCCCUUAUGUCCUGGGCUACACACGUGCUACAAUGGCUGGUACAAAGAGACGCAAGACCGCGAGGUGGAGCAAAUCUCAAAAACCAGUCCCAGUUCGGAUUGUAGGCUGCAACUCGCCUGCAUGAAGUCGGAGUUGCUAGUAAUCGCAGAUCAGAAUGCUGCGGUGAAUGCGUUCCCGGGUCUU